GAUGAAGAACGCAGUGAAAUGCGAUAAUUAAUGUGAAUUGCAGAAUUCAGUGAAUCAUCGAGUCUUUGAACGCACAUUGCGCCCCCUGGUAUUCCGGGGGGCAUGCCUGUCCGAGCGUCAUUGCUGCCCUCAAGCACGGCUUGUGUGUUGGGCUUCCGUCCCUGGCAACGGGGACGGGCCCAAAAGGCAGUGGCGGCACCAUGUCUGGUCCUCGAGCGUAUGGGGCUUUGUCACCCGCUCCCGUAGGUCCAGCUGGCAGCUAGCCUCGCAACCAAUCUUUUUAACCAGGUUGACCUCGGAUCAGGUUGGGAUACCCGCUGAACUUAAGCAUAUCAAUAGCGGAGGA
rnacentral:misc_RNA from 1 species